rnacentral:rRNA from 1 species
GAGUUUGAUCCUGGCUCAGGAUGAACGCUAGCGGCAGGCCUAACACAUGCAAGUCGAGGGGCAGCACGGUGUAGCAAUACACUGGUGGCGACCGGCGCACGGGUGAGUAACGCGUAUGCAACCUACCCAUAACAAGGGGAUAGCUCCCGGAAACGGGGAUUAAUACCCUAUAGUAUCCAGAUGGCGCAUGCCAAUUGGAUUAAAACUACGGUGGUUAUGGAUGGGCAUGCGUGCCAUUAGUUAGUUGGCGGGGUAACGGCCCACCAAGACAGUGAUGGCUAGGGGGUCUAAAAGGAUGAUCCCCCACACUGGUACUGAGACACGGACCAGACUCCUACGGGAGGCAGCAGUGAGGAAUAUUGGUCAAUGGGCGAGAGCCUGAACCAGCCAUGCCGCGUGCAGGAAGACGGCCCUACGGGUUGUAAACUGCUUUUGUUUGGGAAUAAAAGGCGCUACGCGUAGUGCACUGAAGGUACCAGAUGAAUAAGCAUCGGCUAACUCCGUGCCAGCAGCCGCGGUAAUACGGAGGAUGCGAGCGUUAUCCGGAUUUAUUAGGUUUAAAGGGUGUGUAGGCGGAAACUUAAGUCAGUGGUGAAAUCCCCCGGCUCAACCGGGGAACUGCCAUAGAUACUGGGUUUCUUGAGUACAGUUGAAGUAGGCGGAAUGUGUAAUGUAGCGGUGAAAUGCAUAGAUAUUACACAGAACACCGAUUGCGAAGGCAGCUUGCUAAGCUGUUACUGACGCUGAUGCACGAAAGCGUGGGUAGCGAACAGGAUUAGAUACCCUGGUAGUCCACGCCGUAAACGAUGAUUACUCGUUGUUGGCGAUAUAAAGUCAGCGACUGAGCGAAAGCAUUAAGUAAUCCACCUGGGGAGUACGGCGGCAACGCUGAAACUCAGAGGAAUUGACGGGGGCCCGCACAAGCGGAGGAACAUGUGGUUUAAUUCGAUGAUACGCGAGGAACCUUACCUGGGCUUAAAUGUAGCGUGACCGUGGCCGAAAGGUCACUUCCCAGCAAUGGGCAGGUUACAAGGUGCUGCAUGGCUGUCGUCAGCUCGUGCCGUGAGGUGUCGGGUUAAGUCCCAUAACGAGCGCAACCCCUAUUGUUAGUUGCCAGCGGGUAAAGCCGGGAACUCUAACGAGACUGCCACCGUAAGGUGAGAGGAAGGUGGGGAUGACGUCAAGUCAGCACGGCCCUUAUGUCCAGGGCUACACACGUGUUACAAUGGUCGGUACAAAGGGCAGCUACCUGGUGACAGGAUGCUAAUCUCAAAAACCGAUCCCAGUUCGGAUCGAAGUCUGCAACUCGACUUCGUGAAGUUGGAUUCGCUAGUAAUCGUAUAUCAGCAAUGAUACGGUGAAUACGUUCCCGGGCCUUGUACACACCGCCCGUCAAGCCAUGGAAGCCGGGGGUACCUGAAGUCCGUAACCGUAAGGAGCGGCCUAGGGUAAAACUGGUGACUGGGGCUAAGUCGUAACAAGGUAACCGUA